AGAGUUUGAUCAUGGCUCAGGACGAACGCUGGCGGCGUGCUUAAUACAUGCAAGUCGAACGAGGUUCAUCCGGUGGCAACACCGGAGAAGACCUAGUGGCGAACGGGUGAGUAGCACGUGAGCAACCUGCCCCGAAGACUGGGAUAACACCGGGAAACCGGUGCUAAUACCGGAUACCCCCACCGGAUCGCAUGAUCCGGUGAGGAAAUGGAUUCCGCUUCGGGAGGGGCUCGCGGCCUAUCAGCUUGUUGGUGAGGUAACGGCUCACCAAGGCUUCGACGGGUAGCUGGUCUGAGAGGACGAUCAGCCACACUGGGACUGAGACACGGCCCAGACUCCUACGGGAGGCAGCAGUAGGGAAUCUUGCGCAAUGGGCGAAAGCCUGACGCAGCAACGCCGCGUGAGGGACGAAUGCUUUCUGAGUUGUAAACCUCUUUCAGCAGGGACGAUAGUGACGGUACCUGCAGAAGAAGCACCGGCCAACUACGUGCCAGCAGCCGCGGUGAUACGUAGGGUGCAAGCGUUGUCCGGAUUUAUUGGGCGUAAAGAGCUCGUAGGCGGUUCGAUAAGUCGGGUGUGAAACCCCCAGGCUCAACCUGGGGCCGCCACUCGAUACUGUCGUGACUAGAGUCCGGUAGGGGACCAUGGAAUUCCUGGUGUAGCGGUGAAAUGCGCAGAUAUCAGGAGGAACACCAGCAGCGAAGGCGGUGGUCUGGGCCGGCACUGACGCUGAGGAGCGAAAGCGUGGGGAGCGAACAGGAUUAGAUACCCCAGUAGUCC
rnacentral:rRNA from 1 species